UACGUAGGGUGCAAGCGUUUGUCCGGAAUUAUUGGGCGUAAAGAGCUCGUAGGCGGUCUGUCGCGUCUGCUGUGAAAACUCAGGGCUUAACCCUGAGCUUGCAGUGGGUACGGGCAGACUAGAGUGCGGUAGGGGAGACUGGAAUUCCUGGUGUAGCGGUGAAAUGCGCAGAUAUCAGGAGGAACACCGGUGGCGAAGGCGGGUCUCUGGGCCGAUAUUGACGCUGGAGGAGCGAAAGCGUGGGGAGCGAACAGG
rnacentral:rRNA from 1 species